GUUUGAGUGAUGACUAUAUCAAAACAUGUCGGAUACCCCUUCACUCUUUUUAUGAGUGAAAAUAAUAGUCUGACAAAC